UAAAUCAUUUUCCUUUCUUUGCAAAAAUGAGCCGCACCUUUUCUCUCCCUUCUCUUCUCUCUCUCUAAGGUCAACCACCGGCGAACACCACGCUCCGGUGAGCCGCGUCGCCGGCAAGACCGUCGCCCCUUCUUUCUUUCUUCUCCUUUCCCCCCAUCGCGCCACCAGCCACCGCUCCAUCGUACAAAUAUUAUCCCUGGUGGCUAUUAUUGAUAUUUAUUAUCAUAUUGAAAGUGCAAAAUAUUUUGCCUUGGCAUCAACAAACUAGGUUUCUCUUCACUUUCAAAGUGCAAGAGCCAGAUCUUCCUUUUUCCCGUAGACUCGUGUUCGGAGCUUUGGAGGUUUUUUAGUGAAACGGGAGAAUAGAGGUGAGAGGUGGUGGAUUUUGUCGUUGCUGAAGCUUAGAGCUUAUUGGAGGGAGGGGAGGUGGAGUUGGUAUUUUAUGGUCAGUGAAGGAUGCGGGUGUAUGAGUGAAGUUCUUCAUCGCAGAGCUUAGAGCUCGCUGGACGGAGGGGAGGUGGAGUUGUUACAGUUGAAUCCCUUUUUAUAAACUUACGAUUCUACAACUGAAGGAAAAAAUGUAUUGGUUAUAAUGAAAAUUAUAUUAGUUUUGCAGGAUUUGGAAAUAACUAAUAAUUAUCGUGUCUAGAAAAAUUAAUUGCUUGUCAAUGUGUAGUAUCUGGCCUACGAGUACGCCGAGAGUUGAGCAUGUUUAGGCUUUGCAGCAAGAAGAGAGAGGAGUUUGAAUGAAGUGGCCAAAGGGCAUAUGAACUAGGGUCACCAGAUGUUAUAACAAUUCAAGCUGAUGUUUUAAAAGUCAAUGACUGCAGAAGGAUUGUUGAUUAUACCAUGAAACACUUUGGCCAAUCGGACCAUCUGGUAAACAAUGCUGGAGUGCACGCGAUUACUCUGUUUGAAGAUACAGAAGAUAUCACUAAUUUUAAUCUGUCAUGGACAUGAACUUCUAGGGUUCAGUUUACAUAACCCACUUUGUGAUUCCCUAUCUUAGAUACAGUGGGGGCAGGAUCAUUGUGCUUUCUUCAUCUUCUUCUUGGUUGCCUACUCCAAGAUCGAGCCUUUACAACAUAAGUACAAGCUCGACUGCUUUUAUACUUCCACUGGAAAUGGUCAUAUUUUAUCUUGAUGAGUCAACCGGAAAAUUUGUCAUGACAGGCAAGCAAAGCAGCAGUAUCUCAAUUCUUCGAGACAUUAAGAAUUGAGUUGGGACAUGACAUCAAACUAACACUGGCUAUGUGGCUGUAGUAACUAUGCAUAAAUUCCAAAUGCAUCGGCAUAUUAUGAGCCGUGGAUGGACUUUAGGAUGGAACUGGCCAAAGAAAGAAGUGAUAUGGUCCAUAGUGGGAGCAGAAACAACAGAGCAAGGUGACUGUUCCAAGUUUAAAGAAAAUGUACCAUAUUGCUGCAAGAAGGAUCCUGUACUUAUUGACUUGCUUCCUGGAGUUCCUUACAACCAACAGUUCAGCAACUGCUGUAAAGGUGGUGUUCUCGCGUCUUGGGGCGAAGAUCCUUCUGAGUCGGUAUCUUCCUUUCAGAUUAGUGUUGGACUUGCUGGAACAUCAAACAAGACGGUAAAACUACCCAAGAAUCUCACUCUGCUUGGUCCUGGACCAGGCUACACUUGUAGCCCUGCAAAGAUAGUUCCAUCCACAGUUUUUCUCUCUCCAGAUCACAGGCAAAAAAGUUAAGCAAUGAAAUGAGUUUGAAAGAAAGAAACAAGAAAUAUUAGCUGCUCAAAGUGCAUCAAUUGUGGAAGGAGGAUGAGAAAGGAAUUAGACUUGUUGAUGAAGCAUGUAUACAAGAAAUCAUCUACAAAUGAUGAUCACCCAUCUCAAGAAGACAACCAAGCUUAUGAGGAUGAAAGUGAUGGUGACUCUGAUGACGUGAAUGAAAGUGAUAAUCCUGAUAACGUGAACGAAAGUGAUUUUGAACCUAAUGGUUGGAAGUUUUAUUAAGGAUUCAAGUUUAAAAUAUUUUGUUUUGGACCAUUUAAGAAUCAUACAUUAUUGAUGUGGAUGUUUUGAAUUAUGUUUUUUAGUUAGCUGUAAGUGUUUACAUUAGAUUUGUAUUGAAUGAUGGUUUUGAGAAUUAUUUAAGGUUUUGAAUAAAUUUUUGAUUAAUUGUGAAA